AGUGAACGCUGGCGGUAGGCCUAACACAUGCAAGUCGAACGGCAGCACAGUAAGAGCUUGCUCUUACGGGUGGCGAGUGGCGGACGGGUGAGGAAUACAUCGGAAUCUACUUUUUCGUGGGGGAUAACGUAGGGAAACUUACGCUAAUACCGCAUACGACCUACGGGUGAAAGCAGGGGAUCUUCGGACCUUGCGCGAUUGAAUGAGCCGAUGUCGGAUUAGCUAGUUGGCGGGGUAAAGGCCCACCAAGGCGACGAUCCGUAGCUGGUCUGAGAGGAUGAUCAGCCACACUGGAACUGAGACACGGUCCAGACUCCUACGGGAGGCAGCAGUGGGGAAUAUUGGACAAUGGUCGCAAGCCUGAUCCAGCCAUACCGCGUGGGUUAAGAAGGCCUUCGGGUUGUAAAGCCCUUUUGUUGGGAAAGAAAAGCAGCAGGUUAAUACCCCGCUGUUCUGACGGUACCCAAAGAAUAAGCACCGGCUAACUUCGUG
rnacentral:rRNA from 1 species